rnacentral:rRNA from 1 species
GACGAACGCUGGCGGCGUGCUUAACACAUGCAAGUCGAACGAAGUGGCGAACGGGUGAGUAACGCGUAAUCAACCUGCCCUUCAGAGGGGGACAACAGUUGGAAACGACUGCUAUUACCGCUAACUGAAGGCGGGGAUUGCGUCUGAUUAGCUAGUUGGCGGGGUAACGGCCCACCAAGGCGAUGAUCAGUAGCCGGGCUGAGAGGAUGAACGGCCACAAUGGGACUGAGACACGGCCCAGACUCCUACGGGAUGCAGCAGUUGGGAAUCUUCCGCAAUGGAGGAAAGUCUGACGGAGCAACGCCGCGGGAGUGAUGACGGCCUUCGGGUUGUAAAGCUCUGUUAAUCGGGACGCGGUACCGGAAUAGAAAGCCACGGCUAACUACGUGCCAGCAGCCGCGGUAAUUC